rnacentral:rRNA from 1 species
AGCGAACAUUGGCGGUAGGCUUAACACAUGCAAGUCGAGCGAGGCGUAAUAGUCGAGCGGCGAACGGGUGAGUAAUACAUGGGAAUCUACCCUGAAGUGGGGGAUAACGUUCAGAAAUGGACGCUAAUACCGCAUAAUCCACAUUGGGAAAGCGUUGCAGCGCUUUAGGAUGAGCCCACGGCUGAUUAGCUAGUUGGUGAGGUAAUGGCUCACCAAGGCGACGAUCAGUAGCUGGUCUGAGAGGAUGAUCAGCCACACUGGAACUGAGACACGGUCCAGACUCCUACGGGAGGCAGCAGUGGGGAAUCUUGCGCAAUGGGGGCAACCCUGACGCAGCCAUACCGCGUGAGUGAUGAAGGUCUUCGGAUUGUAAAGCUCUUUCGGCGGGGACGACGAUGACGGUACCCGCAAAAGAAGUCACGGCUAACUUCGUGCCAGCCGCCGCGGUAA